CCGUCCGUGGGACUUGGGGUGGUGGUUUUGUUUGGUUGGUUUUUGUCUUUUUAGGGCCACACCCGCGGCCCAUGGACGUUCCCAGGCAAGGGGUCGAAUCGGAGCUGCAGCUGCCGGCCACGCCACAGCCACACACGUGAGUACGGCCUCCUAAGCCACCUGGUGAAGGCGUUAGAGCCCUGCCCUCUGGGGCACCUGCGGGCCACCCACGCGUGCAGAUGCCUCCUCGGAGCGAGCAGGGGCACGGUUGCCUCCCUGGGCUUUCCCUUCCCCUGCGCCCCUCGGCACCACCUUGGCUGUUGGCAGGGCCCACUGCGGCCUGCUCCUUUCUGGGCACCUCCUGGGCCCUGGAGGCAGAGCGGAUCCUCCUCCGAGAGCUUCCUGGACGCGGGGCCCCGUGCAGGGUUUGUGUGUUUUCCCUGUCGAUGGUUGUUGCUUUUGAUGCUGUUCCACCCGACCCUCGGUAACGCGUGCAUCCGCCCGCACCAGCCACCUGCAGAACGUCGGCAGCCGACGGGGGGCCUUGCGGACCCCACCUGCCUCGCCCAGCAUGUCUUCGGGGCUCGUGCCUGUGGCGCACUCGCUCAGCACAUCCGUGUCCCUGCUGGUGACGCCGCUGCCAUCCCAUCUGCUGGCCUCGCCACGUCCGCUGACGGACACCUGGCCACACACAGGAUCACACUGUCUGUGCAUAAGGACGUGGUUUUUCCCUUUUUUGGCCGCCCCGCCGCACAGGGAUCAGAUCGGAGCCCUAGUUGUGACCUAAGCCAGAGCUGCAGCACCACCAGAGCCUUACCCACUGCACCUCAGUGCUCCCAAGAGGCCAUCAGUCCCGUUGCCACCCAGCGGGGACCCUGUGCAUGUGGAGACGCCUUUCGUCUGCACGAGCUUCCCUGCACACCCCGUGGGCCACUGCCAAGGGCCAAGAGCAGGGAGCCUACACUCCUUCCCCAGCGCUGA
rnacentral:lncRNA from 1 species